GUCGUUGUCAGCACUUACCGUGACUGGGGCACCUGGGUCACAUCACCGUGACAGAGAAAGCCUGCCAUUCCUCUGCUCUUGUGCCCAGACCAACGAGCGUGCACUGUGACACCUCUAGUGUCAUUUAAUGGGCACACAGGCAAUCUAUCUGCAUAGGUUAUGAUCGUCAUCAUUAUGUGCCAUGUCAUGGUCUUUCUACAGAAGUGGUUUACCCUUUCCUUCUGGGUUGUGUCCUUACAAGAUGGGUGACCCCAGUUAUUAUCAACACUCUUCAGGGAUUGUCUGCCUGGUGUCAGUGGUCGCAUAACCAGGACUUGUGAUCUGCACCGGCUGCUCGUACGACCAUCCACCACCUGCUCCCGUGGCUUCACCUGACCCUGAUCGGGGGCUAAGGAGGUGCUACACCUUGCCCAAGGGCAAUCUAUAGGCUAGUGGAGGGAAGAAGCACCUUAUACCUCCCUUGGUAGAGACAUAUUUCCAACCCUCCACCCCAUAGCAAUCUUAUGUAUUUAUACUUAACGUGUUUCUUUUGUUAUUAUCGUGUUCUUUAUCUUAUUGUGGAUUUUUGUGCUGCAUCGGAUCUGGAGUAAUAGUUAUUUUGUUCUCCUUUACAUUAAACAAUCUUACUGAUGUACCCUGGAGAGCUUUCUAACCGGCUGGUGUGGAGUGGGACACCGCUGGAGGAUCAAAUCAGCUGCAGAAAGUUGUGAGCUUAGCUCGCUCUACCUUGGGCGCUCCCCAGCAUCCAGGACGUUUUCAAGAAGUGAUGCAGCAAAGAGGCGGGAUCUGGCUUUAUGGACCACGUCAUUCAGGACGUGCCCUGUUCUCAUUGCGACCAUCAGGGAGAAGGGCCAGUCAUUGAUAUGGGCUGUGUUAUCCAUCGAUCCAAUGUCUCCUUCACUUCGCCCACUAGUGGAUCAUAGUUUGUUGGGACGAUCGUUUUAAUUUCAGUGGUAAUUUUGACACCAAGUUUUGUAUUGCAGGAAGCUGCCUGACUUGAUAAGUUCCUCCAGCAUUUUGUGUGUGUUCCAGUAUCUGAAGGAUCUCUGUGUUUCUGGCAUCAGCCCGGAAAGUGGAAAUAGAAACAUAGAAA